rnacentral:rRNA from 1 species
AGAGUUUGAUCCUGGCUCAGAACGAACGCUGGCGGCGUGGAUUAGGCAUGCAAGUCGAACGAUCCCGCAAGGGAUAGUGGCGAAAGGGUGCGUAACACGUGGGCAAUCUGCCCCCGAAACGGGAAUAACUUCGGGAAACCGAAGCUAAUACCUGAUGACACCGAGCUGCCGCACGGUGGCACGGUGAAAGGCGUCCGCAAGGGUGCCGAUCGGGGAUGAGCCCGCGGCCUAUCAGCUAGUUGGUGAGGUAACGGCCCACCAAGGCGAUGACGGGUAGCCGGCCUGAGAGGAUGGUCGGCCACAUUGGGACUGAGACACUGCCCAGACUCCUACGGGAGGCUGCAGUCGAGGAUCUUCCGCAAUGGGGGAAACCCUGACGGAGCGACGCCGCGUGGAGGAUGAAGGCCUUCGGGUCGUAAACUCCUGUCAGUCUGGAGGAAAAUCUGCAACAAUGUGGAUUGACCGUACAGGCAGAGGAAGCUCCGGCUAACUCCGUGCCAGCAGCCGCGGUAAUACGGAGGGAGCGAGCGUUGUUCGGAAUCAUUGGGCGUAAAGGGCAUGUAGGCGGCUCUGUAAGUCGGGUGUGAAAUCCCAUCUCUCAAGGGUGGAACGGCAUUCGAAACUGCAGGGCUUGAGUUCGGGGGAAGAGAGCGGAAUUCUCGGUGUAGCGGUGAUAUGCGUAGAUAUCGAGAAGAACACCAGCGGCGUAAGCGGCUCUCUAUCCUGAAACUGACGCUGAGGUGCGAAAGCCAGGGGAGCGAACGGGAUUAGAUACCCCGGUAGUCCUGGCCAUAACGAUGUGCACUUGGUGUUGGGCCGCGAGGCUCAGUGCCGAAGCUAACGCAUUAAGUGCACCGCCUGGGGAGUACGACCGCAAGGUUGAAACUCAAAGGAAUUGACGG